GAUGAAGAACGUAGCGAAAUGCGAUAAGUAACGUGAAUCGCAGAAUUCAGUGAAUCAUCGAAUCUUUGAACGCACAUUGCGCCCGCCAGUAUUCUGGCGGGCAUGCCUGUUCGAGCGUCAUUACAACCCUCAGGCCCCCGGGCCUGGCGUUGGGGAUCGGCGGAGCCCCCCGUGGGCACACGCCGUCCCCCAAAUACAGUGGCGGUCCCGCCGCAGCUUCCAUCGCGUAGUAGCUAACACCUCGCGACUGGAGAGCGGCGCGGCCACGCCGUAAAACACCCAACUCUUCUGAAGUUGACCUCGAAUCAGGUAGGAAUACCCGCUGAACUUAAGCAUAUCAAUAAGCGGAGGA
rnacentral:misc_RNA from 1 species